AAAUGACAACAUAUAUAUACUAAAAUUGGAAUGAUACAGAGAUUAGCAUGGCCUUUGCAGCAGUAUGACUCCCAAAUUCAUGAAAUGUUUCAUAUUUUU
rnacentral:snRNA from 1 species